rnacentral:lncRNA from 10 species
CCUACUCUCCUACUUCCUUCAUUCUAAAGUAACUAUGGUGAGUAAUGGCAGUAACCUAAUCUGUUGAACCUAUUUUAUUUUUAUAUCACUGAAAGUUUAGUACAGUACAGGUUUGAUGUCCUCCAGGAGAAAUUAGGACAGUCGGCAAUGAGACUUAAAGAGAAAAUGAAUUCUGGUUGUUUUCUUUAUGUACAUAUUUUAAAAAGACAUUCCGGGAAAGAAAAAAUGAGGAGAAUGUAGGAGGAUUUACAUGCUAAAGGAGCUUACAGUCUUUUGGAUAAUAUGUAAUCAAAUAACCAUACGAUUAGGAAAUUUAAAGUACAUUCUGUAAAAGAAGUAGCAAUACUCUGGGGAUGCUAAGGUGGGGAGAUUGUUUGAGCCCAGGAGUUCAAGACCAGCGUGGGCAAUAUGGUGAAACCCUGUCUCUACAAAAAUAAAAAAAUUAACUGGAUGUACCUGUAGUCUCAGCUACUCAAAAGGUUGAGGUGGGAGGAUCACUUGAGUCCAGGAGGUUGAGGCUGCAGUGAGCUAUGAUGGUAAUGCUGCAGUCCAGCCUGGGCGACAGAGCAAAACCC